rnacentral:rRNA from 1 species
AGAUUGAACGCUGGCGGCAGUGACUUUACACAUGCAAGUGAACGGUAACAGGUUAAGCUGACGAGUGGCGAACGGGUGAGUAAUGCAGUCGGAACGUGCCCGGUCGUGGGGGAUAACGCAGCGAAGCUUUGCUAAUACCGCAUACGAUCUACGGAUGAAAGCAGGGGACCGCAAGGCCUUGCGCGAACGGAGCGGCCGAUGGCAGAUUAGGUAGUUGGUGGGAUAAAAGCUUACCAAGCCGACGAUCUGUAGCUGGUCUGAGAGGACGACCAGCCACACUGGGACUGAGACACGGCCCAGACUCCUACGGGAGGCAGCAGUGGGGAAUUUUGGACAAUGGGCGAAAGCCUGAUCCAGCCAUGCCGCGUGCAGGAUGAAGGCCUUCGGGUUGUAAACUGCUUUUGUACGGAACGAAAAGACUCUGGUUAAUACCUGGGGUCCAUGACGGUACCGUAAGAAUAAGCACCGGCUAACUACGUG